rnacentral:rRNA from 1 species
UACGUAGGGUGCGAGCGUUGUCCGGAAUUAUUGGGCGUAAAGGGCUCGUAGGCGGUUUGUCGCGUCGGGAGUGAAAAUCCAGGGCUUAACUCUGGACUGGCUUCCGAUACGGGCAGACUAGAGGUAUGCAGGGGAGAACGGAAUUCCUGGUGUAGCGGUGAAAUGCGCAGAUAUCAGGAGGAACACCGGUGGCGAAGGCGGUUCUCUGGGCAUUACCUGACGUGAGGAGCGAAAAGUGUGGGGGAGCGAAACAGG